UCUCUCUCUCUCUCUCUCUCUCUCUCUCUCUCUCUCUCUCUCUCUCUCUGUAGUGUUGACAGGAGGUUACUGCUGAGUUUCCUCCAGUGCUGUGCUGCCUCUCCGAUCCAGCAGGGGGCACCACCACCACCACCACCAACAGCAGUAUGGCUGCUCAGGUCUCUGCACUACAGGCUGGACUUCUCCUGCUCCUCCUCUGUGGACCUGUCAGCUCAGGACCAGGAGGAGGCUCUGUGUCUGACCACUGACCACUGCAGGGCCAUCCACUCUGUUCUGAAGCAGAACCAACACAGCACCCAGCUGGAACAUGUGUAUUAUAACUGUAGGAUAGGAAUAUGUAGUUUUAUUUACCACUAACAGUUUGUGUGUAAAUACUUUAAAUAUUCAUACAUACUGCAACAGAUCA